UGGAAGGCGUCCCUGCCCGUGGCAGGGGUGUUGGAACUGGAUGGUCUCUCAGGUCCCUCCCAACCCAAACCAUUCUGUCAUUCUGUGA